GUCGGAGUGGUCAAUGGUCUAAGGCGCCAGACUCAAACUCUGGUUCACAAUGCUGGUGUGAAUUCUUAUCCCACCUCCAACU
rnacentral:tRNA from 1 species